AUUGAACGCUGGCGGCAUGCUUUACACAUGCAAGUCGAACGGUAACAGGCCGCAAGGUGCUGACGAGUGGCGAACGGGUGAGUAAUGCAUCGGAACGUGCCCAGUCGUGGGGGAUAACGCAGCGAAAGCUGCGCUAAUACCGCAUACGAUCUAUGGAUGAAAGCGGGGGACCGAAAGGCCUCGCGCGAUUGGAGCGGCCGAUGUCAGAUUAGGUAGUUGGUGGGGUAAAGGCUCACCAAGCCAACGAUCUGUAGCUGGUCUGAGAGGACGACCAGCCACACUGGGACUGAGACACGGCCCAGACUCCUACGGGAGGCAGCAGUGGGGAAUUUUGGACAAUGGGCGCAAGCCUGAUCCAGCAAUGCCGCGUGCAGGAAGAAGGCCUUCGGGUUGUAAACUGCUUUUGUACGGAACGAAACGGCUCUCACUAAUACUGGGGGCUAAUGACGGUACCGUAAGAAUAAGCACCGGCUAACUACGUGCCAGCCGCCGCCGUAACAC
rnacentral:rRNA from 1 species